GACGAACGCUGGCGGCGUGCUUAACACAUGCAAGUCGAACGGAAAGGCCCUUCUUUUGUGGGGUGCUCGAGUAGCGAACGAGUGAGUAACAAGUGAGUAACCUGCCCUUGACGUUGGGCUAACUUCAAGAAACUGGGGCUAAUAACGGAUAGGAGCUCCUGCUGCAUGGUGGGGGUUGGAAUGCUUCGGCGGUUGGGGAUGGACUCGCGGCUUAUCAGCUUGUUGGUGGGGUAGUGGCUUACCAAGGCUUUGACGGGUAGCCGGCCUGAGAGGGUGACCGGCCACAUUGGGACUGAGAUACGGCCCAGACUCCUACGGGAGGCAGCAGUGGGGAAUAUUGCACAAUGGGCGGAAGCCUGAUGCAGCAACGCCGCGUGCGGGAUGACGGCCUUCGGGUUGUAAACCGCUUUCGCCUGUGACGAAGCGUGAGUGACGGUAAUGGGUAAAGAAGCACCGGCUAACUACGUG
rnacentral:rRNA from 1 species